rnacentral:rRNA from 1 species
AUUGAACGCUGGCGGCAUGCCUUACACAUGCAAGUCGAACGGCAGCACGGGGCAACCUGGUGGCGAGUGGCGAACGGGUGAGUAAUGCAUCGGAACGUACCUUUCAGUGGGGGAUAACGUAGCGAAAGUUACGCUAAUACCGCAUAUUCUGUGAGCAGGAAAGCAGGGGAUCGCAAGACCUUGCGCUGAUUGAGCGGCCGAUGUCAGAUUAGCUAGUUGGUGAGGUAAAGGCUCACCAAGGCGACGAUCUGUAGCGGGUCUGAGAGGAUGAUCCGCCACACUGGAACUGAGACACCGUCCAGACUCCUACGGGAGGCAGGAGUGGGGAAGUUUGGACAAUGGGGGCAACCCUGAUCCAGCCAUGCCGCGGGAGUGAAGAAGGCCUUCGGGUUGUAAAGCUCUUUCGGCCGGGAAGAAAUCGCACGGGCUAAUACCCUGUGUGGAUGACGGUACCGGAAUAAGAAGCACCGGCUGACUACGUGCCAGCAGCCGCCGUAACAC